rnacentral:rRNA from 1 species
AUGGACGCCGACGUCCCGCUCCACCUGCUGCUGCUCGUGCCUCUCCUUGCUAUAAUACCCCUCAUUCUCUUCGCCUCGAGAAGAUUGACGCCGCCCGAGUCGUCCGGCGUCGCGCGGCUCCCGCCAGGGCCGUGGGCGCUGCCGGUGAUCGGCCACCUGCACCACCUCGCGGGCGCGAUCCCGCACCAAGCGUUGCGCGACCUGGCGCGGCGCCGCGGCCCGCUGAUGCUGCUCCGUUUCGGCGAGGUGACGGCCGUGGUGGCCUCGUCCCCGGACGCGGCGCGCGAGAUCCUGAAGACCCACGACCCGGCCUUCGCGUCUCGGCCCGUCGGACCCAUGUCACGCCUCUGGUUCCAGGGCUCCGAGGGCCUCGUCUUCGCGCCCUUCGGCGACGCGUGGCGCCAGCUCCGCAAGAUCUGCACCCAGGAGCUCCUCAGCGCCCGCCGCGUCCGCCAGGACGAGCUCGGCCGCCUCCUUCGCGCCAUGGCCUCGUCCUCCCCGUCGCCGUCCGAGCGUCGCCCGGUGAACCUGACAGAGAUUAUCGCGGCGUACAUCGCCGACUCCACUGUGCGCGCCAUCAUCGGCAGCAGGCCGUUCAAGGGCCGCGACGCGUGCCUGAAGCUGUUCGAGGACAUGUUCCGUAUGAGGCCCGGGCUGAGCCUGCCGGACCUGUUUCCGUCAUCGCGCCUCGCGAUGCUCGUCAGCCGCGAGCCCGACCGGAUCAAGCGCUGCCGCCGCGAGAUGCUGCAGAUCACGGACACCGUCAUCCAAGAGCACCGGGAGAGGAAAGCCGCCGGCGAGGGAGACGCCGAAGACGAAGACCUGGUCGACGUGCUCCUCGGACUCCAGAAGAAGUGGGCUCCCAGCACCCGCUGA